CGUAGGGUGCGAGCGUUAAUCGGAAUUACUGGGCGUAAAGCGUGCGCAGGCGGUUUUGUAAGACAGGCGUGAAAUCCCCGGGCUCAACCUGGGAACUGCGUUUGUGACUGCAAGGCUAGAGUAUGGCAGAGGGGGUGGAAUUCCACGUGUAGCAGUGAAAUGCGUAGAGAUGUGGAGGAACACCGAUGGCGAAGGCAGCCCCCUGGGCCAAUACUGACGCUCAUGCACGAAAGCGUGGGUAGCAAACAGGAUUAGAUACCCUGGUAGUCCACGCCCUAAACGAUGUCAACUAGGUGUUGGGUGGGUAAAACCAUUUAGUACCGGAGCUAACGCGUGAAGUUGACCGCCUGGGGAGUACGGCCGCAAGGUUA
rnacentral:rRNA from 1 species